rnacentral:rRNA from 1 species
GUCUAUAGCCACACCACCCUGAACGCGCCUGAUCUCGUCUGAUCUCGGAGGCUAAGCAGGGUGGGGCCUGGUUAGUACUUGGAUGGGAGAAAGGUAAGGAGAAAUGAAGA